GCCGGGGGACGUCUGUCCCCGGGUCCGCGCUCGCCGAAAGACACCUUAGAACUCUGUCUGAAGAUUGUAGUCUGAGAUUAAAUAUAAAUUAUUUAAAACUUUCAACAACGGAUCUCUUGGUUCCGGCAUCGAUGAAGAACGCAGCGAAAUGCGAUACGUAAUGUGAAUUGCAGAAUUCAGUGAAUCAUCGAGUCUUUGAACGCACAUUGCGCCCUCUGGUAUUCCGGAGGGCAUGCCUGUCCGAGCGUCAUUGCUGCCCUCAAGCACGGCUUGUGUGUUGGGCUCCGUCCUCCUUCCGGGGGACGGGCCCGAAAGGCAGCGGCGGCACCGCGUCCGGUCCUCAAGCGUAUGGGGCUUUGUCACCCGCUUUGUAGGACUGGCCGGCGC
rnacentral:rRNA from 1 species